GAAAAGGCGCCCUGGUCUCUCUUGCACCAACCUGCCACCGCCAUCGGAGCGCCGCCCUGUGAUGUAACAACCGGCACGUCCACAUCUGCUGGCCCUCGGGGUGGUGUUUUCGGAGUAUCAGGAACAGGAUCAAUAAAACGAGGAACAAGAAAACAGGUCUAAGUGAAAGAUGCCAAUCAAAAGAAUUCUGAAAUGUUAAAGAAAACUCAAAAGCAGCCGUGAAAAAUAUUGUCCUCGGCAUACAGCAGUUACAUUGUGCAACAACUUCAUUGCAAAUUAUAUUUACACAACUCCAAAAGAAUCGGCAUUUUCUCAGUGCAUCUCCUGGGAGCCAGGGAUCCCGAGAACAGCUGGAAGAUUCCCAGGCCAGCCAAGAUUGCGGAGCACAUUGAAAUGAAGAAUUGCAGGGUGAGUGGAGGAGAGGUUGAAGACAGAGAAAGAAAAGGGAAAAAUUUCACGUAGCAUCAUCCUGGAAUCGGUGGCAAGCCCGAGUCCACAUCACAGGUGAAGAGGAAAAACAAGAAAUAAUAAUACCAAUUAAAUUGCUAAAUGUGCACACUGAGGCACUGUGGUUUAGAGUCUCGUGCAAGACACUGGCCCCCUUUUUCCGGGAUCCCUUAAAACAAGUCUUGGACUCACGGAGGUGUGGUCCUGCUAUGAGGAGGAAAAUAAUAGCAAAACCCAGUAUUUCUAAUGACAAAAGAGCAACAUCAAAAGUGUGCAUGUGUGUAUGGAUGUAAGUCCCUUUAACAAAGCUCAGAGAUUCCCAAAGAAGUUGGACCCGAGAAGGAACACACCAAGGCACAUCAUCAUUAUAUUAGCCAAGAUUAAAAUGAAGAACAGAAUCCUAAAAGCAGCAAGAGAUAAGGCCCAGUCACCUACAAAGGAGUUCCUAUCAGACUGUCAGUGGAUUUCUCAAGAGACC